GACGAACGCUGGCGGCGUGCUUAACACAUGCAAGUCGAACGGUAAGGCUCCAGCUUGCUGGGGUACACGAGUGGCGAACGGGUGAGUAACACGUGGGUGACCUGCCCUGCACUUCGGGAUAAGCCUGGGAAACUGGGUCUAAUACCGGAUAGGACCAUGGUGUGGAUACUGUGGUGGAAAGUUUUUUCGGUGUGGGAUGGGCCCGCGGCCUAUCAGCUUGUUGGUGGGGUAAUGGCCUACCAAGGCGGCGACGGGUAGCCGGCCUGAGAGGGUGGACGGCCACAUUGGGAAUGAGACACGGCCGGGCCUCCGACGGGGGGCAGCAGUGGGGAAUAUUGCACAAUGGGCGGAGGCCUGAUGCAGCGACGCCGCGUGGGGGAUGAGGGCCUUCGGUUGUUAAACUCCUUCCCCCAUCGACGAAGGGUUUCGGACGGUAGAGUGAAAAGAAGCACCGGCAAACUCCGUG
rnacentral:rRNA from 1 species